CAUGUGUGGAUAAUUUGAACAUUUUCUGCGUCUGAUUUAUCAAGUCUUUCUCCGGGUUUUUUGUGUUGAAACAUUACGUUGGAAGGAUCGAGAGCUAUAAUGGCAAAUACUUAGAGAUUUAGUGUAAUUUACUGUAUCAUUUAGUAUAAUUAG